rnacentral:rRNA from 1 species
UACGGAGGGUGCAAGCGUUGUCCGGAUUUAUUGGGUUUAAAGGGUGCGUAGGCGGCCCGUUAAGUCAGUGGUGAAAGCCUCCAGCUCAACUGGAGAACUGCCAUUGAUACUGACGGGCUUGAGUACAGACGAGGUAGGCGGAAUUGAUUGUGUAGCGGUGAAAUGCAUAGAUACAAUCAAGAACACCGAUUGCGUAGGCAGCUUACUAGGCUGUAACUGACGCUGAGGCACGAAAGCGUGGGGAGCAAACAGG